AAAAAGGUCAUGCAUAACAAAAAUUAUACCACAUCAGUGGACAAAAGCACCAACAAAGCUAAUUGACCCCAAAAAGAAAAUUAUAAGACCCAAAAUAAAAGCAAUAAAAGCAAAUCCAAACUUCGAAGAAUUAAGAAUUGGAGCACUGCUUAGAGUUGAACUUGGUGACAUCUCUUCAGGAUUCGUUCACCAUAACUUCUUCGUUAUAACUCCGAUUUAAGUCCACUACGUGUUUACGAACUCGUGAGAGCGAGCUCUACGUAAUGGUGCCAUUAACAUCCCCAAAAUCCUUCUGAAUUAAAAAGAGGAACAAAUUUAGAAUGAAAAGAAAACUCAAAUUUUGUGUGUGAAAGGCACUACGCACGACCUUGCAUUUUAUAUCCGACUCCCAUUCUGAUACUUCCUUUUUUUGGGUGUGUUGUAUCCGAGUCCCAUUCUGAAAAGGUUUCCAAAUACAACUUCGCUUUUUUGGGCAUGAGUUUCCAAAUACAACUAGUAGUAGGAAAUAUACAUCUUUUCAUAAAUGGAUUAAUAUAAGAAGGCGCAAGACCCAAUUUAUAAUUUUUUUUUUGUGUGGAAUUAUUUAGUCUAACUUUAAGGACCCGCCCUGAAUUUUUUCAAAACCCGAGACGAACCCUUUGGAAUUCCUGACAUCACCCCGAUGCCAGGCCCACUUACUAAAAACCGAGACUUCCUGCCGAAAUUUCGGCAGAGUCUCCCCUAUAAAUUGGACAUUUCCCAAAAUUUUAACCUGCAUAAAAACGCAUUUAAUAUCCACAACUGGCAGCAUGCACAAUAUAAUUUCAUGCAAUCCACACAAAUGGCCUUCGGCCUUCCAAUAAUUCUCCAACAACUACCAAACAAUUCAAAUACAAAAUAUGACUAAUAUUUAGUCUGCGGCUGCACCUAAUAACCUCAAGCUGCCUACGUACCCUCCUUGAGGGAUCAAGCCACACGUAGUUCUUCCAUAAAACCCAAUUCCACACUUGGGCGAUACCUUAUUUUAUUUCUUUGUAUUUCAUAUAAUCUCCCCAUACGCCGGUACAACCGACGCCACGUAUGGGGCCUGUCAACACGCCGGAUAACCUAUGCCACGUGCGACCAUGCCAUACUAUCAUAAUAUCUCCCCAUACGCCGGUACAACCAACGCCACGUAUGGGGUCUGUCGACACGCCGGAUAACCUACGCCACGUGCGACCUCAACAUAAUAUUACAUAGCUCCCCAUACGCCGGUACAACCAACGCCACGUAUGGGGCCUGUCCCAACGCCGGAUAACCUACGCCACGCGGGACCUAACUUUCACUUGGUGGUACUUGUAGUGGAUCCAACCUCCAAGGAGGUACCUAAAGUAGUGCGUAUAGCACUCCAAACUGACACUUUAGACUCUGUUGUACCCUUGUACAACCAUAUAUAAUUAUAGUUAUAUAAAUUAAUUCUAAUAUUGUGUAACCCUCCACAAUCAUCUAGCACCCGAUAAUCCCCCCUAGAAAGGUGAGAUUACUCCGGGAGACUCACGGUCAACCAAGGGUCAAACUACUCUAACCCUGGUCAACCGGACCUGCGGAACCCACGACCUCCAAUUUCCGAUCCGAAAGUCCCUAUGGGUUCUACCAGGUAUAGGACACUUGUCCUGCAAGUUUGGUUCAGAUCGGACGGUCGGAUUUCUCACGAUCUCACGAUCCGACGGUUAAUAUAUAAUAUAAACUUAAAAAUUAUUAUUUGGAACAUCCGGGGCUCCGAUUCACGAUCCGUGAAUUCCUACACGAUCCUAGAAAUACCUAGAUUAACAUAUAUUAAAUUUGGGACCAUCCGACGGUCCCAACCUAUCGAACCCGGAUAACGCAUAAUAUGCGAUUAUCCGUUGGAUAGUCAAACGACGUCCGAAUUGAGAUCCGCGAAAUCCUAAGCACUCAUGACGGCACGAGGAUCUCAAAACUGCCCAGAGUCACUCCACCACCCUCGCCCACGCGCUGCCACACGCGCGGGCAGAUCGGGUGUCCAAAGCGAUUAUGGUUCGUCGAAAAAUCUCGGAACCAAGACUCCAAACUCCUAUCCUAGGUAAAACACCUCAUUUGGAGUCACUUUUGUUCUUGGACCUACCCCAAAACGUGACCGGAAAUGCCCGAUCACGGCGGCCGAAGUUUCAGCCGAUUUUCAAUUCGAAAAUUGAGUUGCCUACGCUAAGAAUCGAUCUAAUCCUACCCAACCAUCAGCUAGAGCAGCUCGAGAGCUUCAAAAUCCAUACCUGGGUCGACGGAUUUGGUGGCCGGAGGAGGGAGAUCGACGGCGUUGAAGUUCCGGCGACAUCCGGGCGAAAAUCGCCAUUUUCCGGCGGCUGGAGCUGCGGCCGAUGGCGGGGAUGGGCUGGGUCGUGACGCCGAGGUCAAGCCGGUUCUUUUGACACCGGCCCCGUCCGCAGCCGCGGCCGGUGGCCGGAGUUACGAAGAGAGAGAGAGGAGAGGCCGACGGGAGAGAGAGAGGAGUCGCG
rnacentral:lncRNA from 1 species